rnacentral:rRNA from 1 species
UAAUCAAACCCCGUGAUAGCUGGUUCUCCUCGAAAUGCAUUUAGGUGCAGCGUUGCGUGUUGAUGAGUGGGGGUAGAGCACUGACAGGGCUAGGGGGCAUACCCGCCUACCAACCCCUAUCAAACUCCGAAUACCAUUCAAUAGAGCGCAGCAGUGAGACGGCGGGGGAUAAGCUUCGUCGUCGAGAGGGAAACAGCCCAGAUCAGCAGCUAAGGUGCCUAAAUUGUGCUCAGUGGAAAGGAGGUGAGGUUUCAUAGACAGUGAGGAUGUUGGCUUAGAAGCAGCCACCAUUUAAAAAAUGCGUAAUAGCUUACUCAUCGAGAGACCUUGCGCCGAAAAUACUUGGCGAUAAGCACAAUACCGAAGCUCUGGGUGUCCUAGUUUACUAGGGCGCGGUAGAGGAGCAUUCUCUGUGCAGUGAAGGGUGAUGGCGACUGACCCUGGAGCGCAGAGAAGUGAGAAUGCAGACAUGAGUAACGAUAAGAGCGGUGAAAUCCCGCUCCGCCGUAAAUCCAAGGUUUCCCGGGCAACGUUUUUCGUCCCGGGGUUAGUCGGGACCUAACCCGAGGCCGAUGGGCGUAGGGGAUGGUAAGCAGGUUAAUAUUCCUGCACCCAGUAAGGAGGACGCAUAAUGAAAAGCUACUAGGUUAUUGAAUUCCGAGGCGAGGCUUAGGCCGGACCGUAUAGCUGGACAGAGUGCCAAGAAAAGCCCUUACAUUAAUGGCCCGUACCGUAAACCGACACAGGUGGAUGGGUAGAAUAUACCAAGGCGCAAGAGUGAAACCUGGUCAAGGAACUCGGCAAAAUAGCCCCGUAACUUCGGAAGAAGGGGUGCCCCCUCUGGGGGGCCGCAGUGAAAUGGCCCAACCGACUGUUUAGCAAAAACACAGCAUUGUGCUAAGGCGUAAGCCGACGUAUACGAUGUGACACGUGACCAAUGCCAAAAGAUUACGGUAAGAUGUUAGCACUUUAGUGCGAAGCUUCGAGCCCAAGUCCUGGUGAAUGUCGGCCGUAACUAUAACGGUCCUAAGGUAGCGAAAUUCCUUGUCGGGUAAGUUCCGACCUGCACGAAUCGUGCAACGAGUUGGGCGCUGUCUCGACCAGGUGCUCAGUGAAAUUGUAGUUCCGGUGAAGAUGCCGGACACCCGCAGAAGGACGGAAAGACCCUAUAGACCUUAACUGUAAGCUGUUAUUGGUUGUUCGAUCUUAAUGCUCAGCAUAAGUGGGAGACAUUGAAGGGUGCGUUUAGGCGCAUCUGGAGUCAUCAGUGAGAUACCACCCUUUAAUAUUGGAUAAUCUAACCCCGAGCCGUCAUCCGGCCGUGGGGACAAUGGCAGCCGGUCAGUUUUACUGGGGCGGUAUCCUCCUAAAGAGUAACGGAGGAGCGCGAAGGUGGGCUCAGCACAGUUGGCAACUGUGUGUUGAGUGUAAAGGCACAAGCCCGCCUAACUGUGAGACCUACAAGUCGAGCAGAUACGAAAGUAGGCCUUAGUGAUCCGGCGGUAGAAUGUGGAAUUGCCGUCGCUCAACGGAUAAAAGGUACCUUAGGGAUAACAGGCUUAUCACGCCCAAGAGUUCAUAUCGACGGCGUGGUUUGGCACCUCGAUGUCGGCUCGUCGCAUCCUGGGGCUGGAGAAGGUCCCAAGGGUCCGGCUGUUCGCCGGUUAAAGCGGCACGCGAGCUGGGUUCAGAACGUCGCGAGACAGUUCGGUCCUCUAUCCUCUGUGGGCGUAGGAAAAUUGAAGGGUUCAGACCUUAGUACGAGAGGACCGGGUUUGACGCACCUCUGGUGUUCCAGUUGUUCUGUCAAGGGCACUGCUGGGUAGCUAAGUGCGGAACGGAUAAGCGCUGAAAGCAUCUAAGCGCCAAGCCAUUCCUGAGAUAAAUUUUCCCUGAAGGAUCGUGGAAGACGACCACGUUGAUAGGCUGGGGGUAGAAGUGCAGCAAUGUAUGUAGCUCACCAGUACUAAUCAUCCGUUCGACUUAAUUCC